ACAAGCAAAAAGCAUAUCAGUAAGCGGAGGAAGAGAAACUAACCAGGAUUCUCCUAGUAACGGCGAGUGAACGGAGAUUAGCCCAUCACCGAAGCCUGCGUGCGUUUGCAUGUUAGGCAAUGUGGUGUUAAAGCUUGUACCUGGGAUCGUGUACCUACCCGAAGUCUAAAUCCGAUUGUGGCUUUGGAUUCAUUCCAUAGCGGGUGAAAGUCCCGUGCGGGUAGGACUAUUGCAUAUUCACACGGUCCUCAGAUGUGCUUGCUUUCGAGUCGGAUUGCUUGAGAAUGCAGUCCAAAGUGGGUGGUAAACUCCAUCCAAGGCUAAAUACUGGCACGAGUCCGAUAGUAGACAAGUACCGUGAGGGAAAGUUGAAAAGUACUCUGAAGAGAGAGUAAAUAGUACGUGAAACCGAUUGCAGGGAAGCUGGUGGAGUCAAGCUUCGUGCUUGAGGGAUUGAUGCUGGGAGCAGGUGUGUGAUUUGUAUGUGAGGUUGGACAACUUGGAAUAAGUUGGGCGUGUUCUGAAUGCGCUUCAAGUCAUUCCGGGCCGAGUGUUAUGAGCCAGCCUCGCUUUACUACUCUCAGUGUUGUAUUCCUCGCUGCACAGGCCACAGUCAAUAUGUGCAUGCUGAAUGAAGUUCUAACUAUGCUUCGGCGGGUGCAAACUCUCCGGGUGUAGGAUGGCAGGUGCUGUCUUCAGGCCUCGUGUCUGUUGAUAGUUGUUGUGAUUUUGAUCAGCUGGGCUUCAUACUGUGUUGUGCAUAUUGUCUUUUAAUGGUGCAGUUUCUUUGGAAGUGCGCUGUGAAGAACUGUGCUCUGAGWRURACC
rnacentral:rRNA from 1 species